rnacentral:rRNA from 1 species
UACAGAGGGUGCGAGCGUUGUCCGGAAUCACUGGGCGUAAAGGGCGCGUAGGUGGUGGCUUAAGCGUGCGGUGAAAGCUCGGGCUCAACUCCGAGUCGGCCGUGCGAACUGGGCUCACUGGAGCAUAGUAGAGGCAGGUGGAAUUCCGGGUGUAGCGGUGGAAUGCGUAGAGAUCCGGAAGAACACCAGUGGCGAAGGCGGCUCACUGGCCCGUAACUGACGCUGAGGCACGAAAGCGUGGGAGCAAACAGG